UACGUAGGGUGCAAGCGUUAAUCGGAAUUACUGGGCGUAAAGCGUGCGCAGGCGGUUUGUAAGUCUGUCGUGAAAGCCCCGGGCUCAACCUGGGAAUUGCGAUGGGAGACUGCAAGGCUUGAAUCUGGCAGAGGGGGUAGAAUUCCACGUGUAGCAGUGAAAUGCGUAGAGAUGUGGAGGAACACCGAUGGCGAAGGCAGCCCCCUGGGUCAAGAUUGACGCUCGAUGCACGAAAGCGUGGGGAGCAAACAGG
rnacentral:rRNA from 1 species